rnacentral:rRNA from 1 species
UUUGGUCAUCCGAGUUGUAAUCUAGAGAAGUGUUAUCCGCGCUGGACCGUGUACAAGUCUCCUGGAAUGGAGCGUCAUAGAGGGUGAGAAUCCCGUCUUUGACACGGACUGCCAGGGCUUUGUGAUGCGCUCUCAAAGAGUCGAGUUGUUUGGGAAUGCAGCUCAAAAUGGGUGGUAAAUUCCAUCUAAAGCUAAAUAUUGGCGAGAGACCGAUAGCGAACAAGUACCGUGAGGGAAAGAUGAAAAGAACUUUGGAAAGAGAGUUAAACAGUACGUGAAAUUGCUGAAAGGGAAACGCUUGAAGUCAGUCGCGUUGGCCGGGAAUCAACCUUGCUUUUGCUGGGCGUACUUUCCGGUUGACGGGUCAGCAUCAAUUUUGACCGUUGGAUAAAGUUCAGGGGAAUGUGGCAUCUUCGGAUGUGUUAUAGCCUUUGUUCGCAUACAACGGUUGGGAUUGAGGAACUCAGCACGCCGCAAGGCCGGGUAUUUAUACCACGUUCGUGCUUAGGAUGCUGGCAUAAUGGCUUUAAUCGACCCGUCUUGAAACACGGACCAAGGAGUCUAACAUGCCUGCGAGUGUUUGGGUGGAAAACCCGAGCGCGUAAUGAAAGUGAAAGUUGAGAUCCCUGUCGUGGGGAGCAUCGACGCCCGGACCAGACCUUUUGUGACGGAUCCGCGGUAGAGCAUGUAUGUU